rnacentral:rRNA from 1 species
AACGAACGCUGGCGGCAGGCCUAACACAUGCAAGUCGAGCGCACCCUUCGGGGUGAGCGGCGGACGGGUGAGUAACGCGUGGGAACGUGCCCUUCUCUGCGGAAUAGCCUCGGGAAACUGAGAGUAAUACCGCAUACGCCCUUUGGGGGAAGGAUUUAUCGGAGAAGGAUCGGCCCGCGUUGGAUUAGGUAGUUGGUGGGGUAAUGGCCCACCAAGCCGACGAUCCAUAGCUGGUUUGAGAGGAUGAUCAGCCACACUGGGACUGAGACACGGCCCAGACUCCUACGGGAGGCAGCAGUGGGGAAUCUUAGACAAUGGGGGCAACCCUGAUCUAGCCAUGCCGCGUGAGUGAUGAAGGCCUUAGGGUUGUAAAGCUCUUUCAGCUGGGAAGAUAAUGACGGUACCAGCAGAAGAAGCCCCGGCUAACUCCGUG